GCCAGUGUGAUAGCACAAUGAAUGCAUCAGUUUACCAUGGGAUCACUGAAGUUAAGCAAUGUUGUGUGUGGUCAGUAUCAGGGCAAUCCACCAUGCUACUGGCU
rnacentral:rRNA from 1 species